CCAGCAGCCGCGGUAAUACGUAGGUGGCAAGCGUUGUCCGGAUUUAUUGGGCGUAAAGCGAGCGCAGGCGGUUUCUUAAGUCUGAUGUGAAAGCCCCCGGCUCAACCGGGGAGGGUCAUUGGAAACUGGGAGACUUGAGUGCAGAAGAGGAGAGUGGAAUUCCAUGUGUAGCGGUGAAAUGCGUAGAUAUAUGGAGGAACACCAGUGGCGAAGGCGGCUCUCUGGUCUGUAACUGACGCUGAGGCUCGAAAGCGUGGGGAGCGAACAGGAUUAGAUACCCUGG
rnacentral:rRNA from 1 species